UACGAAGGGUGCAAGCGUUAAUCGGAAUUACUGGGCGUAAAGCGUGCGUAGGCGGUUUGUUAAGUCUGUUGUGAAAUCCCCGGGCUCAACCUGGGAAUGGCAAUGGAUACUGGCAAGCUAGAGUGUGUCAGAGGAUGGUGGAAUUCCCGGUGUAGCGGUGAAAUGCGUAGAGAUCGGGAGGAACAUCAGUGGCGAAGGCGGCCAUCUGGGACAACACUGACGCUGAGGCACGAAAGCGUGGGGAGCAAACGGG
rnacentral:rRNA from 1 species